GAUGAACGCUAGCUACAGGCUUAACACAUGCAAGUCGCGGGGCAGCAUUUUCUUAGCUUGCUAAGGAAGAUGGCGACCGGCGCACGGGUGAGUAACGCGUAUCCAACCUUCCCUUGUCCACGGGAUAGCCCGUCGAAAGGCGGAUUAAUACCGUAUGAGGUCACAUGCUGGCAUCAAAGUGUGACGAAAGGUUUAGCGGACAAGGAUGGGGAUGCGUCCGAUUAGGUAGUCGGCGGGGUAACGGCCCACCGAGCCGACGAUCGGUAGGGGUUCUGAGAGGAAGGUCCCCCACAUUGGAACUGAGACACGGUCCAAACUCCUACGGGAGGCAGCAGUGAGGAAUAUUGGUCAAUGGGCGAGAGCCUGAACCAGCCAAGUAGCGUGCAGGAUGACGGCCCUAUGGGUUGUAAACUGCUUUUAUGCGGGGAUAAAGUGUACCAUGUAUGGUGUUUUGCAGGUACCGCAUGAAUAAGGACCGGCUAAUUCCGUG
rnacentral:rRNA from 1 species